rnacentral:rRNA from 1 species
CGGCGAGUGAAGCGGGAAGAGCUCAGGUUGAAAAUCCCUCGGGAGUUGUAACCUGUAGGCCCAAUACUGCAGCUGACGCGGGCGCAAGUCCUCGUGAACGAGGCGCCGGAGAGGGUGAUAGCCCCGUACCGCCCGUGAACGCGUCACAGUAUGGUGCCGACGAGUCGGGAUGCUUGGGAAUGCAUCCCUAAGUGGGUGGUAAGUCCCAUCUAAAGCUAAAUACGGGCAAGAGACCGAUAGCGAACAAGUACUGUGAAGGAAAGAUGAAAAGCACUUUGAAAAGAAGGUUAAAAGAGCUUGAAAUUGCUGAAAUGGAAGUGAUUGGCCCCAGUACGGCGCAGGUGACUGCUUGCAGUCCCGGCGCCGGUCAGCAUCGGCUGCUGCUGCGUGAAAGCGCCCAAGGGAAGGUGGCGUGGGCCCGCUCCGGCGGGUACCUGCGUGUUACAGCCCCAGGGAGCGCGACGCGGCGGCGGCCGAGGGAAGCGCGUAGCCAUACGUCUAUAGGGGAUCCGUUCAGCCUUCCGCGUGCUUGCACGCUACGGCGGCGGUGACCCGAACGGACGCGCUGCGCGAAGAUGCUGACGAAAUGGGUUCCAUCAGCCCGUCUUGAAACACGGACCAAGGAGUCUGACAUGUGUGCGAGUACUCCGGUGGAAAACCGCUGUGCGCAAUGAAAGUACAGGCUGUCAUUUGGGCAGCUGUGAUGGGACCUUCGGGGCACCAUCGACCGGUCUACUCUCCACGGAUUGUUGGCUGCGUCUGAGCAGAUAUGUUGGGACCCGAAAGAUGGUGAACUAUGCCUGGGUAGGGCGAAGCCAGGGGAAACCCUGGUGGAGGCUCGAAGCGAUUCUGACGUGCAAAUCGAUCGUCAAACCUGGGUAUAGGGGCGAAAGACUAAUCGAACCAUCUAGUAGCUGGUUCCCUCCGAAAUUUCCCUUAGGAUAGCUGCAACUAAUAUCCAGUUUUAUCAGGUAAAGCGAAUGAUUAGAGGAUUCGGGACCGGAAUGGUCUUGACCUAUUCUCAAACUUUAAAUGGGUAAGAAGGGCGGCCUUACUUUGUUGAAGGCCGCCCGCGAAUGGAAGUUGUUAGUGGGCCAUAGCAGGUAAGCUGCUCUGGCGAUGCGGGAUGAACCGAACGUGGUGUUAAAGCGCCGGACUGUCCGCUCAUCAGAUCCCACAAAAGGUGUUGGUUCAUAUAGACAGCAGGACGGUGGCCAUGGAAGUUGGAAUCCGCCAAGGAGUGUGUAACAACUCACCUGCCGAAUGAAUUAGCCCUGAAAAUGGAUGGCGCUGUAGCGGACGGCUUAUACACCACCACCGGGCCAAGAUGGACGGCCCGGUGAGUAGGAGGGCGUGGCGCUCGCGGAGAAGGCCUGGGCGUGAGCCCGGCUCGAGCGGGCGCUAGUGCAGAUCUUGGUGGUAGUAGCAAAUAUUCAAAUGAGAACUUUGAAGGCCGAAGUGGAGAAAGGUUUGGUAGGAACAGUAGUUGACUGCCAGUGAGCCGCUCCUAAGAGAUAGGGUAAUGCCGUUCGGAAGUGGGCGUCUCGCACGCCCCGCCUAUCGAAAGGGAACCAGGUUUAUAUUCCUGGGCCUGGGCGAAGAAAGGUGGCAACACGCACGAGCUGGGAGACGUCGGAGGGAGCCCCGAGGAGAGUUCUCUUUUCUUGUUAACAGUCUCUUCCCCUGGAAUCGGUUCGCCCGGAGAUAGGGGUCAAUGACUGGAAUAGCUGCCGCGCUUAGCGGCGGUUCGGUGCGCUCUCGACGGCCCUUGAAAACCCCAGCGAGGUACCUCGUGUCAAUCUUACCCCAGGGCGUACUCAUAACCGCAUCAGGUCUCCAAGGUUAGCAGCCUCUGGUCGAUAGAA